rnacentral:snoRNA from 14 species
UGGCCCAGAGAUAUGAAUGUGUCUCAUCUCAAGACGGUGAUUAAUCCCGCUCUGUGCAAUUGAGGUUGAAU